GAAGGCGUCUAUCGGCCGUUUGAGUUCUGUGGACGCCGUGCCCGGCGGCUGCGGGCACCUGCCCGGGGAGCGACCCGGGGCCGGGGAGAAGCCGUCCCAGCGCUGCGGGAGGCGGCUCACAGCGUCGGCUUUUCGACUUUCCGCCGCUCGCGAUGGAUUCGAAACUACCAUUUUGGGGGGGAAUGGGCGCCGAGAAGACGCGAGGGAUUCUCUCUUCCCGCAAGAGGGCCGCGGAGCGGCGGCGGCGCAGCGUGGAGAUGGCAGCGCCCUUCUGACAGUGGCGCUCCGUGCCCUACGCUGCUCUCGUUGCUUUACGUUUCAGGAAGCACGGGGAGGCUGAAUUCCGCCCAAAAGAGCCCCGCGGGAGCCCGGCUGCGCGGCUUUUCUGCUGGGAUCCCCCAACCGCCCCUCGUUCGUGAGUGCAGAAAGGCGAAAGGUAGUGAGGUGAGCACGCUUGAAGCAGGGAAACGCCGUGCUCCGGCUAUCGGAUGUCCACAGCCACGAAACGAGGGGAAAAGAAAAUGUAUUUAAGGGCCUUGCUAUGACAGUUCUCUGUCAGAAGCAACAGCGCAGGCAACACUGUUAACAGAAGUAUGAAUUGUAAUUUCCCUCAGAGAUAACUCUAGAGAUACGUAGCUAUAUAUUUAUAUGACACCUGUAUAUUCAAGUCCAGUCGCUUUUCUGCAUGAAAAUGAAAUAACAUGCAGCUCUUCGGAUUUGGUGUCAGGCGACUUCAAUAAGACCAAUUUUGUGACUGAUCAGUGCCCCAGAUCCCCGGGUUUGGUGCUGUUCGCUGUGCAGAUGUACUGCAGAACAGGACAUGGGGCCUUGCAGCAGCCCCCUACUACUUGCUUUUACAGCUACAAAGCAAGCCCCUGUGUUCUGUUAAUCACAUCACACAGCAAAAAUAAUGAAGUACGGCGGGGAUGCUGCAGGCCUCCUGCAAGUGACACUGCCUGGCCACAACAGGCGGGCAGACAUCCAUCCAACAAUCUUCCCAGAAAGAAGUGUCCCCAUCGCAAUCAUUUCCUUUCGGCGGUGGUAAUGAUACCGUCAGAUAGAGGGAAUUGCCCCGAUGGGCAGCAAAACCCCCUCCGGAGGGCUGCAGGGACAGAGCCGGCCGUGUUCUGCGGCGCUGUCCGAGGGCACCUCGGAGUGUGGAGCUGCGAAAACGGAAAGCUUCGCUGUGAAUCUCACCUGAGCUUCCCCAGCCGGGGCACGUCGGGCCGCUCGCCUCUCCUUCACAUUCUGGAUCAAAUCCUUCCCGUCUUGAUCCAGCGAAGAUAUCAUUAUUUAAAAUAAUCCUGUGAUAGACGUGAACACGGCGUAACUUAUCUUGACAGCACACCUAGAACACAAAUCGGUGCCAGGAAUGAACUGGCUCCGGUCCAGUUUCCAAACCUCGCCUUUCAGCCCUCGUUACAGUUACUCUCUAGUAAUGCGGGGGUGGAUGUGUUUGUAGCUCAGCCCGGUCUGCCACGGGCACCGCAUCACUCCCGGUACCGACGACAGCGCCGUGAGGGCAGCGCUGGUCGAACGGCUGUGAGCCGUAAGAACAGUAAGAAACCUCUCGGGAAACCUCGCCAGCUUAAACUAAAGCAGGUAAAAUGUAACAUCUAACUUUUCUUUUCUCGGGGACAGCUUUUCUGACCCCCUGCCUUUCCAUCCCGAGUGGUGUUUUAGCACGGCUUGCAUCCACCUCGAAGCUCUGCGUAGUUUUGCAGCCAACGAGGAGCACCGGACGCGUCCCGAAGGCGCCCAGCGGCGCUCCCGGGGCGGCUCGCAGCCCUGCCGUCCCACUGCGCCGGUUCCCUCGCUCUCCCCCCACACAGACAGGACCCGCGGCCGCUCUCCUUCCCCGCUCUUCGCUCUGCUAUUUGCCAUCGAGCAGAAUAUGAAAACUCGUCGGGCAGCGGCUCCCGCCGACGCGAAUAGAAAAAACAAUAAAGGAUUCUCUUUCUUA